rnacentral:lncRNA from 1 species
UAUUAUCUAAAACCAUCUAUUUUAGGAAAGUUAUCAGUUUUUUAGAGAAAUAUUGUAAAUUUGAGAUUGUGAUUUAAAAACUAGGAUAACAAGAGUUAUUGUUGAUAGAUGGGUAUGCUUUCAGAAUUUUUGAUCAACAUGUUAUAAUUAUUUUAAAAAAUUCCAAAACCAUCUAUUUUUGUAAAGUUGUCAUUUUGUAGAUAAAUAUUGCAGAUUUAGAAUUGUGAUUUAGAAAUUAGGAUAACAAGAGUUUUUGUUGAUAGAUGUGCAUGCUUUAGAAAUUUUGAUCAAUAUGAUAUAUCUUGUAGAUAUAUUAUCUAAAACCUGUUAUUUUAGGAAAAUUAUCAUUUUUGUAGAGAAAUAUUUUAGAUCUGGGAUUGUGAUUUAAAAAUUAGUAUAACAAGAGUUUUUGUUGAUAGAUGGGUAUGCUUUUAAAAUUUUUGAUCAAUAGGUUAAAUCUUUAAGAUAAAUUUUCUAAAAUCUGUUAUUUUAGAAAAGUUAUAAUUUUUUUAAAGAAAUAUUGUAGAUCUGAGAUUGUGAUUUAGAAAUAAGGAUAACAAGAAUUUUUAUUGACAUAUGGGCAUGCUUUUAAUUUUUUUGAUCAAUAUGUUAUAAUUUUUAAAUAAAUUUUCCAAAAUCUGCUAUUUUUGGAAAGUUGUCAUGCUAUUGAUAAAUAUUGUAGAUUUGAAAUUGUGAUUUAGAAAUUAUGAUAACAAAAGUUUUUGUCGAUAGAUGGGUAUGCUUUUAGAGUUUUUGAUCAAUAGGUUAUAAUUUUUAAAUGAAUUUUCCAAAACCUGCUAUUUUUAGAAAGUAGUCAUGUUGUUGAUAAAUAUUGUUGAUUUGUAAUUGUGAUUUAGAAAUUAAGAUAACAAGAGUUUUUGUUGAUAGGUGGGCAUGCUUUUAGAAUUUUUAAUCAAUAGAUUAUAUUUUAAAAUAAAAUUUUAAGAACUGUUAUAUUUGGAAAGUUAUCAUUUUGUUAAUAAAUAUUGUAGAUUUGGGAUUGUGAUUUAGAAAUUAGGAUAACAAAUGUUCUGGUUUAUUGAUUGGUAUACUUUUAGAAAUUUUGAUCAAUAGGUUUUAUCUUGUAGAUAUAUUAUCUAAAACCUGCUAUUUUAGGAAAGUUAUCAUUUUUGUACAGAAGUAUUUUAGAUCUAGGAUUGUGAUUUAAAAAUUAGGAUACCGAGAGUUUUUGUUGAUAGAGGGGUAUGAUUUUAGAAUUUUUGAUCAAUAAGUUAUAAUGUUUAAAUAAGUUUUCCAAAACCUACUAUUUUGGGAAAGUUAUCAUUUUUCUAGAGAAAUAUUGUAGAUUUAGAAUUGUGAUUUAGAAAUUAGGAUAACAAGAGUUUUUGUUGAUAGAUGGGUAUGAUUUUUUAAUUUUUUAUCAAUAGGUUUUAAUUUUUAAAUAAAUUCUUCAAAACCUGCUAUUUUUGGAAAAUUAUCACAUUUGUAGAGAAAUACUAUAUAAUUGAGAUUGUGAUUUAGAAAUAUGAUAACAAGAGCUUUUGUUGAUAUAUGGGUAUGCUUUUAGAAUUUUUGAUCAUUAGAUUAUAUUUUAUAAAUAAAAUUUCUAAGAACUGCUAUUUUUGGAAAGUUAUCAUUUUUGUAAAGAAAUAUUGUAGAUUUGGGAUUGUGAUUUAGAGAUUAGGGUAACAUGAGUUUUUGGUUAUAGAUGGGUGUAUGGUUUUAGAAUAUUUGAUCAAUUUUUAGAUAAAUUUUCCAAAACCUGCCUUUUUUAGAAAGUUAUCAAUUUGAUAGAAAUAUUAUAGAUCUGUGAUUUUGAUUUAGAAAUUAGAAUAACAAGAAUUUGUUU